rnacentral:rRNA from 1 species
GACGGAGGAUGCAAGCGUUAUCCGGAAUGAUUGGGCGUAAAGCGUCCGCAGGUGGCUAUGUAAGUCUGCUGUUAAAGAGUGAGGCUCAACCUCAUAAGAGCAGUGGAAACUACAUAGCUAGAGUGCGUUCGGGGCAGAGGGAAUUCCUGGUGUAGCGGUGAAAUGCGUAGAUAUCAGGAAGAACACCGGUAGCGAAAGCGCUCUGCUAGGCCGCAACUGACACUGAGGGACGAAAGCUAGGGGAGCGAAUGGG